GUUUGUUUAACUAUGGCAAUAAGAAGAUUCGCUUUUUUAAUUGCAUAAAAUUAUUGUAGCUUUUACUAAGAAAGAGUACACCUUGGUUUAUUAGCAAUUAGUUUUUUAUUUGAGCUUACGUUUUUUAAGAGAAAUGCGAAUAGGAGGGGAUAGGACACAGUGCCAGCAUCCGCGGUUAAUCUGUUUUCUUUGCUUUUACUUGAAUCUUAGUUGGCAGAAUAUAAGCAAGGUUAGGUGAAAUUUUCUUGUACUUAAUCAGUUCUGCUAUUUUACGGAAACUUAGUUUUAACGACAGGGAUUAGAUACCCCAUUAGUUACUAAGUUAUUUUAUUUUAGUUUCAUAACUAAAAUAGUUUGGCAGUGAGUUACUCCUGUUGGGGGAAGGUGUGUUGUAAAGGACGAUCCGCCAAUUAAUUGACCUAAUCUAUGUUGGUGUAUAUCUGGUUGGAUAUUAUUGCUUAAUAGCUUAAUUUGUGUAUAGAUACUUAAGCCAAGUCUAUGUGCUGCAUGUUUAGGGUUUCAUGCGUUACUAUUAAUUAAAAGCUCUAUUGUAAUGUGAGGGCUAUAUUAGGGACUCGAGAGUAAUAUCAGUUAAGUUUGCUGAUGUGAAAAGGGUUUAACUCAGGUACACACCGCCCGUCACCCUCGGCGUAUGUUGAGGUAAGUCGUAACAUGGUAACCCCAAAUGAAUUUGGGGUUAAUUGCUUUUUAGC
rnacentral:ncRNA from 1 species